rnacentral:rRNA from 1 species
AACGAACGCUGGCGGCAUGCCUAACACAUGCAAGUCGAACGAGACCUUCGGGUCUAGUGGCGCACGGGUGCGUAACGCGUGGGAACCUGCCCUUAGGUUCGGAAUAACUCCCCGAAAGGGGUGCUAAUACCGGAUAAUGUCUUCGGACCAAAGAUUUAUCGCCUUUGGAUGGGCCCGCGUUGGAUUAGCUAGUUGGCAGGGUAAAAGCCUACCAAGGCGACGAUCCAUAGCUGGUCUGAGAGGAUGAUCAGCCACACUGGGACUGAGACACGGCCCAGACUCCUACGGGAGGCAGCAGUGGGGAAUAUUGGACAAUGGGCGAAAGCCUGAUCCAGCAAUGCCGCGUGAGUGAUGAAGGCCUUAGGGUUGUAAAGCUCUUUUAACCGGGAUGAUAAUGACAGUACCGGGAGAAUAAGCUCCGGCUAACCCCGUG